AACGUGCCCUUCGGUUCGGAAUAACUCAGGGAAACUUGAGCUAAUACCGGAUACGCCCUUCUGGGGAAAGGCUUGACUGCCGAAGGAUCGGCCCGCGUCUGAUUAGCUGGUUGGUGAGGUUACGGCUCACCAAGGCGACGAUCAGUAGCUGGUCUGAAAGGAUGAUCAGCCACACUGGGACUGAGACACGGCCCAGACUCCUACGGGAGGCAGCAGUGGGGAAUAUUGGACAAUGGGGGCAACCCUGAUCCAGCCAUGCCGCGUGAGUGAUGACGGCCUUAGGGUUGUAAAGCUCUUUUCUCCGGGACGAUAAUGACGGUACCGGAGGAAUAAGCCCCGGCUAACUUCGUGCCAGCAGCCGCGGUAAUACGAAGGGGGCUAGCGUUGCUCGGAAUCACUGGGCGUAAAGGGCGCGUAGGCGGCUGAUUUAGU
rnacentral:rRNA from 1 species